GGAAGUUUGUCGGCUUAGACCUGGUGUCAUUCCAUCAGUGUUAAACUUCCCGGCUCAUCUUGGAAGAGUAUGUGCCAGAAAGACCACGACCAAGCAGCCUUGAGAUCUUAGGCAGCGUCUCCCUCAGACCAAAGAACUACAGACUCUUCACAACCUGCUCAAACUCUUGGUACAGGACCUCACCACACGGGUCAAGAAGGUUUCCGUCUCAUUUCUACUCUGAAGCUCACCUUCUCCUGCUCAAACUGCUGACAAAUGUUUCUGCUGCUCUAAAGUCUGAUCUCUAGAACUUCCUAAAAACUCUCAAAGUCUCUUCUGCUGCAGAUUGCUUUGUAGAACUGUUCCAGAAAACCUCACUAAACCACAUGGAGGGGCCUCAAGAUAGUCGUCCAAAUGAAACCAUACAAAAACCAAACUAGCACAACCCAAACGCUAAAGUCUCCUGCAGCCUACCAGAGAACCUCUGAGAACAGAGAAUCAGGACAGGAACUCUUACCUUCUGGACAACAAACAUUGGUUCUCAAACAAGAAUACAGAUUGUGUCUGACCAAAAACCUCUAAAGACUCACUACAGCCAAGAUAAAGACACAACUCAGCUGCACCAAAUCCACUAAUCAUUGCACAUAUUAGCACCAUGUGCUAACUGUGGCUAAAGAACCACAUUUACCAAGACAACAAU